rnacentral:rRNA from 1 species
GUCCACGCCGUAAACGAUGGGUACUAGGUGCCUGGGGAGCGACCCCUUGGGUGCCGGCGCUAACGCAGGAAGUACCCCGCCUGGGGAGUACGGCCGCAAGGCUGAAACUCAAAGGAAUUGACGGGGCCCGCACAAGCGGUGGAGCAUGUGGUUUAAUUCGACGCAACGCGAAGAACCUUACCUAGGCUUGACAUGCAUGGGAAACUCCUCAGAACGAGGAGCCUCCUUCGGGAUCCAUGCACAGGUGCUGCAUGGCUGUCGU